GAUAUUUUGCCCAUGAUGAUCUUAAAAGUCUCUCCUACUAACAUUCCAACUUCUUCAUCAAAGUAGUUUAGAAAAAUGUUGAAGGCACCUGGAAUGUAAUAGUUUCCCAAAGUAAGAAAGAGCUUGAUUAAAAUAUUCUUCUAAGAAGACAGCAAAGCCCAGAAAAAUGUAAGAGCACACUAAAGGACCAAGGACCUCUCCUCCCAUUGAUGACUGACUAGGCCAUCCUCUGAUACAUAUGCAGGCAGGGGCCCUGUUUGUGGAAAACAGCCCCAGAACUUCAUGGGAGAGGAACAAAAACUGGUUCUGGCUUGUGGACAACCCUAGAAUUGUCAUGGCCCAGGCGCAUCCACCGACCCUCCCAAUGGCCCCAGGAAACACGCAGGAACUGAGCAUCUCAGUCAGCAGGUCAGCCCCAGAAUUGAUACCAUUUGAAAAAGGAUGAAGAAUAAGCAACUGCCCUGUGAUCAGAGCUAUGCACACUCCCUUGCAGGAGGAACAAACCAAUUAACUAAUGGAAUGUGGAGCAUCUCUGGGAGCUGCAGGGGCUGGGCAGCCAAGAAAAGUGGCCAAACAGGUCCCUGUGUGAAUAGGAGUUUGCUGCUGGUGCUAAGUCUGGCCAGAACUAAAGCUUUAAACUGG
rnacentral:lncRNA from 1 species